rnacentral:misc_RNA from 1 species
UGGAUUCUUGAUCUUUGCUUCCAAGCUAAUUCGUCCUUCCUUGCCACAUCUUCAAAUUCCAUGCCCAGAUGUGUCUUUUGCAGCAGUUCAUCAUUUGUGAGGGGCCUCUGUUCCUGAAUUGUUUCCCAAUUAGAAAUUUGAUUGAGAAUACUUCCUUCCUUGUUUCCAGUUCCCCUUAUUAUUUUUGCUCCACUCUUUAAGCUUUACUUUCAACAUUUUUAGCUUUUCAACCAAAAUAUAACCUGCUCUGCCAGUCACACUAAAUGACUCCCACCAAUUUUUCACCUUUUCUUUGAAACCCUCUACCUCUAACCACCGCGUUUCAAAUUUAA